rnacentral:rRNA from 1 species
CGUUAAUUGAUUAUGACGUACUUGUACUGAUUGAGAUUUUAACACGAAGUGAGUGGCGAACGGGUGAGUAACACGUGGGUAACCUGCCCAGAAGUAGGGGAUAACACCUGGAAACAGAUGCUAAUACCGUAUAACAGAGAAAACCGCAUGGUUUUCUUUUAAAAGAUGGCUCUGCUAUCACUUCUGGAUGGACCCGCGGCGUAUUAGCUAGUUGGUGAGGUAAAGGCUCACCAAGGCAGUGAUACGUAGCCGACCUGAGAGGGUAAUCGGCCACAUUGGGACUGAGACACGGCCCAGACUCCUACGGGAGGCAGCAGUAGGGAAUCUUCCACAAUGGACGCAAGUCUGAUGGAGCAACGCCGCGUGAGUGAAGAAGGGUUUCGGCUCGUAAAGCUCUGUUGUUAAAGAAGAACGUGGGUAAGAGUAACUGUUUACCCAGUGACGGUAUUUAACCAGAAAGCCACGGCUAACUACGUGCCAGCAGCCGCGGUAAUACGUAGGUGGCAAGCGUUAUCCGGAUUUAUUGGGCGUAAAGCGAGCGCAGGCGGUCUUUUAAGUCUAAUGUGAAAGCCUUCGGCUCAACCGAAGAAGUGCAUUGGAAACUGGGAGACUUGAGUGCAGAAGAGGACAGUGGAACUCCAUGUG